rnacentral:rRNA from 1 species
AGAGUUUGAUUCUGGCUCAGAACGAACGCUGGCAGCGUGGAUUAGGCAUGCAAGUCGAACGAGAAUCCAUCGCUUCAAUCCUUCGGGAGAGAAAUGGUGGAGGACAGUGGCGGAAGGGUGAGUAACGCGUGAGCAACUUACCGUCAAGUUUGGGACAACCCUGCGAAAGCGGGGCUAAUACCGGAUGUGGUUUGCAACCGCAUGGUUGCUUUACUAAAGGUGGGGAUCCUUCGGGACCUGUCGCUUGACGAGGGGCUCGCGUCCUAUCAGCUUGUUGGUGGGGUAAUGGCCUACCAAGGCUUACGGGUAGCUGGUCUGAGAGGAUGGUCAGCCACACUGGGACUGAGACACUGCCCAGACUCCUACGGGAGGCUGCAGUCGAGGAUCAUUCGCAAUGCGCGAAAGCGUGACGAUGCGACGCUGCGUGGGGGAUGACGGCCUUCGGGUUGUAAACCCCUGUCAUUUGGGAGCAAUGGUCCCCGGGUUAAUAACCCGGGAACUCGAUAGUACCAAAAGAGGAAGCCACGGCUAACUCUGUGCCAGCAGCCGCGGUAGUACAGAGGUGGCAAGCGUUGUUCGGAUUUACUGGGCGUAAAGGGUGUGUAGGCGGUCUCGUAAGUUGGAUGUGAAAUCUCACUGCUCAACGGUGAAACUGCAUUCAAAACUGCGAAACUUGAGUACAGGAGAGGAAAGCGGAAUUCUCGGUGUAGCGGUGGAAUGCGCUGAUAUCGAGAAGAACACCAGCGGCGAAGGCGGCUUUCUGGAAUGUUACUGACGCUGAGACACGAAAGUUGGGGGAGCGAACAGGAUUAGAUACCCUGGUAGUCCCAACUGUAAACGGUGUGCACUUGGUGUGGGGAGAUUUGACCCUUCCCGUGCCGGAGCUAACGCGUUAAGUGCACCGCCUGGGGAGUACGGCCGCAAGGCUAAAACUCAAAGAAAUUGACGGGGGCCCGCACAAGCGGAGGAGCAUGUGGCUUAAUUCGAUCAACGCGAAGAACCUUACCAAGGCUUGACAUACAGCUGCGCACCCCCCGAAAAGGGGGCAUCCUUCGAGGGUGCUGCACAGGUGCUGCAUGGCUGUCGUCAGUUCGUGCCGUGAGGUGUUGGGUUAAGUCCCGCAACGAACGCAACCCUUGUGUUUAGUUGCCACCACGGGUGAUGAGCCCGUGAGCACUCUAGACAGACUGCCCGUGUAAGCGGGAGGAAGGUGGGGAUGACGUCAAGUCAGUAUGGCCCUUAUGCCUUGGGCUGCACACGUGCUACAAUGGCUGGUACAAAGGGAAGCAAUACCGCGAGGUGGAGCCAAUCCUCAAAGCCAGCCCCAGUUCGGAUUGGAGUCUGCAAUUCGACUCCAUGAAGUUGGAUUCGCUAGUAAUGGCGCAUCAGCUACGGCGCCGUGAAUAUGUUCCCGGGCCUUGUACACACCGCCCGUCACAUCAUGAAAGCUCUCUGCACCCGAAGUCGCUGGUCCAACCCUGAGUUUAUACGAGGGGGGGAAGGUGCCGAAGGUGUGGGGAGUGAUUGGG